rnacentral:tRNA from 1 species
AAAUAAUUUCAAAAUUUCUAAUUUCGACCUAGAAAAAAUGGUUAUAACCAUAUUAU